rnacentral:tRNA from 1 species
AGCGGGAUGGAUCAGGAGCCGAUCAGCGGUCUCAUAAGCCGCACAGGUGGGUGCGACUCCCACUCCCGCUU